UACAGAGGUCCCAAGCGUUGUUCGGAUUCACUGGGCGUAAAGGGUGCGUAGGUGGUGGGGUAAGUCGGAUGUGAAAUCUCCGAGCUCAACUCGGAAACUGCAUUGGAAACUACCCUGCUAGAGGGUCGGAGGGGGGACUGGAAUACUUGGUGUAGCAGUGAAAUGCGUAGAUAUCAAGUGGAACACCAGUGGCGAAGGCGAGUCCCUGGACAAUACCUGACACUGAGGCACGAAAGCUAGGGGAGCAAACAGG
rnacentral:rRNA from 1 species